UAAAUGACAAGAAGAAGUGGAUUUGUUGUUUUGUGAUCCGCCAUUAAAUGAAAACAAGGCUAGAGUGGUAGAAGUUGUUGUUCGGCUGAACAUUAUAAUGGGCAAGGCGUCUGAUCUGAGCGACUUUGACCGUGGUACGAUUGUUGGUGCCAGGCGUGGUGGUGCCAGUGUCUCACAAACAGCUGCCCUUUUGGGAUUUUCACGUACUACAGUCUCUCGAGUGUAUAAAGAAUGGAGCCAAAAACAAAAAACAUCCAGCCAGCGGACGCUAUGUGGGCGAAAACGCCUUGUUAAUGAGACAGGUGAGAAGAUAAUCGAUACAAUCAUUCAAGCGGACAGAUUGGCCACCCAUGCUGAAAUAACAGCCAUUUACAACAGUAAUGUACAAAAGACCAUCUCUCAACACACAACGCGCCGAACCUUAAAGCGGAUGGGCUACUCGAAGACCAUGCCAGUUUCCACCCUCUGCAAAGUACAAGAAGCUUCCAGCGCAGAGCCUCUAUCAUGAGAUGGCAUAAGCCUGCCAGUGAAAUCCCUUCCUGUUGCAGACCGGCUCAAGCAUCCACCAGGAAGAAGUGGGGAUGGGGCUACAGGAAAGGGAAAUUACUUUAAAUAUGUUUCCCUGUGCUCCCCAUUUAUAAUGGACAAUUUUAGCCAUUAUAUACUUACCCUUAUGUGAGUCAAAACUCUACACUAUCUAAAUUAAGAGGAACAAAUAAAUCCUGUUUGAACAUCUGUGUUUACACACUUAAAUAUAUGAUGCUGCCUGUCAAAUUUAAAAUAGGUUAUAAUCCUCACGAAAUAAAAAAUUACAGUGCCCUUCAAAAGAAAAUAAAUAGUAGAGUGUAAUUUAUUGUUCUUUAUAUAUAAGGCAUUGGGAUCCGAGAUCAAAGUUGAAUGAGACGGUAGCUGUUUUGACUUGAAUCUCCCAGAAAGUUGGUGUGGUAGAAGUUAAAACUGAGAGAACAUGAGGACUAAUGAACAAUGGGGGCCCAAUUCAUAGCCACAUAUGAUCUUGUCCCAGAUUCAUUUCAUAACAGAAGGUUUUGCUUUGUGCUGUUAAUAGUCUGUCCUGUGCUGCCUCGCAGUGUAGAGGUAGUGGUAUUACAGCUCAUCAACUCGCUCCAAAAAUAUAAUAUAUAACGACUAUGAUGGACUGACAUGAGCCAGCAUUAAAGUAACAGCACCGCCUGCUGUUCUCUGCACAGGGGGCAUCUGGGCUUUUCUGAGACAAAAUUCAACCUCAAUCAGAUAUUUAUUCAGAAUUAUACAAAUAUUACAAGUGAUUAUGAUUCUUUGUUAUUCCUUCUGUCUGUGUCUACCUUGGACUGUGAGAUGUGUUUUCACAAUAAAAACCAGAGAAACUUCUUCUGUCACUUUGUAACAUUGUGUGCAAUUUUUUUGUUUUUCAGUUAAGGAUCCCUGUAUUUCAAAAAGGAAUAAAAGUGUAAUAGCUGGCA